GUAAAUGUUAGAUAAAAGAUAAAUACUGAAAAAAGAGCACUCAAAACAUUGUCAAGACCUACCCAUCUUUCAAUUUCAAGUUAAAUCACUCCCUCUCUCCCCCACAUACUUCCACAUUUUCAAACAUAAAUUGCUCCUGUAGCAAAAUUCAGGUCUCUCUCUUCACCCCAGGCAAACAACACACAAGAUAAGGAUACCCUAAUAAUCAUCGUAUCUUGAAAUUUCCUGAUAAGAAAAUCCAACAAGUUGUUUACCAUGCAAAGGUUAAAAUCUUUUGAUCUGAGCUGAAAAUAGAACACAUUUACCACCAACAAAAAAACACCCAAAACAAUCUAGACAUCUUAAUUCCAAGCCAGUUUUACCUUGGUGGGGGGGGUGUGUGUAGUCACCACCAUGCUUUUCACAAACAGAUAUAUAAGUCACUUGUGCAGUUACUAUUUCAUGUUCUUUUUUAUAACAUGCCCUCAUAUUGGGGAUUUAAGAAAUACUGCACUUAACCAUGAUUAUUACCUUUUCUGUUUUCACUAAUUAUCCAAGGUACGUGUUACAAGUUCUCUCUCAACCUCUUUCCAUACUUAAUCCUGCACUGAAGUCAUAAUUGAGGCUAUCUUCUCAUAAUGAUGAAGGGACAGAAAAGAUCUUUUGUAAGUGGCUAGCUGUCCAAAUUGAUUUUAAUGUUGCUGAUAUUUAAUUGUAUUGUUAAUGUUGCAUUAGGGUGAUGAGAGCCUUGGAUAAGCAUCUUCUUAGCUAUUUAAAAAUUGAAAAAUAAAUAGAAAUGCAAUAAUUUCUGAAACACUAAACUGAUGUGUUGUAGUAGAAUUAUGCCUUCAAUGCAGGGUCCAGUAGAAGCCAGAUUACGGAAGAAUCUUUUUAAUCAAACACACACACACACACACAAAGCCUUUCACCAGGAUCCUGGAAAAUCAUAAAGAUGCCAUCAGGUUUCUUGGUUUUGCUCAACAGAGUCAUUUAUCAUGGCUGUCUGACUUUAAAAAGAACCCUUAAUAGGGUCAACAUAGGCCCAAAAUAUAUGUUUGUGAAGAUAUUUUAACAAAACCUUAAAAAAAGCCACCAAUAGAAGUGUUUCUAUGAAUUGAUUGGAACUGGAACUCAUUUGCAUUUAAACAUUCCUUUCAAGCAUUUGCUUCCAAAACAUUUCAGUGCUGUGCAUUAAAAACAGAACAUGAAACUGACUAGGAACAGCCUCAAUCUACUUCAACUGCCAAUGUGAGCGAUAUACAAGCUGCCAGGAAACCAUGGCAAAAGAAUAAAUUUUAUUUUUGAGAUGACUAUUUUGGAUGGGAUAUUAAAAGGAGUUUGAGGGAGUUAGGUAUUCAUCUCACAUUGAAAUUCAAUAAGAUUUGAGUGCCUAGCACCCUUAAGGUUCUUUUGAAAACCCCAGUUUUGAGCUCUAAUAAUUUUGAGUGUUAAAAUUAUGACUGCUUAAUUGUCUCUAUAUGGCUGUAAUUUAUAACUGAAUAUAAGCAAUGCGUGAACAUGUUCUAAUGCUAACAAAGCUUUUUAAAAGCUUACACAGUAGUGCAGACUUGAAGAAAAAUCCUAACCAUUUAGCUAAAAACCUCUCAAUUCCAUUUCUAAACAUGUAUCUGUAUUUAAAUCAGCCAUCUCCUGUUGAAUCCUGCAGUGGAGUCAAUUUUAUUUUAAGGUUGUUACAUCAAACACUGCAGUUAC